CGCUGGUAAUCGCAGAUCAGAAUGCUGCGGUGAAUACGUUCCCGGGUCUUGUACACACCGCCCGUCACACCAUGGGAGUUGGAAAUGCCCGAAGUCGGUGACCUAACCGAAAGGGAGGAGCCGCCGAAGGCAGGUCUGAUAACUGGGGUGAAGUCGUAACAAGGUACC
rnacentral:rRNA from 1 species